UACGAAGGGGGCUAGCGUUGCUCGGAAUCACUGGGCGUAAAGGGUGCGUAGGCGGGUCUUUAAGCCAGGGGUGAAAUCCUGGAGCUCAACUCCAGAACUGCCUUUGAUACUGAGGAUCCUGAGUUCGGGAGAGGUGAGUGGAACUGCGAGUGUAGAGGUGAAAUUCGUAGAUAUUCGCAAGAACACCAGUGGCGAAGGCGGCUCACUGGCCCGGUACUGACGCUGAGGUGCGAAAGCGUGGGGAG
rnacentral:rRNA from 1 species